rnacentral:rRNA from 1 species
GGACGAACGCUGGCGGCGUGCUUAACACAUGCAAGUCGAACGGUGACCCACCCUUCGGGGUGGUGAUCAGUGGCGAACGGGUGAGUAACACGUGAGCAACCUACCCUUGGCUCUGGAAUAACCCCGGGAAACCGAGGGCUAAUACCGGGAUACGACCUCUUGCGGCAUCGCGUUGAGGUGGAAAGUUUUUCGGCCAAGGAU